GUCCGAGGAAAGGCCCAGAUGCUGUCACGUGUCAAAAUCCGAGAGACCCUCGUUGGUCGUGCUGUCAUCCUGGCCGUCGAGGGGCACUAUAUAUAUAGGGUCACUUGUAUCCAAAACUCCACUUUUCACAGCCCUGUUGUCGAGACUCUGGUCGAGUGGUCCCCCAGUUCCAAGUUCCAGGUAGUUGUGCCUAUCUCCC
rnacentral:lncRNA from 1 species